rnacentral:rRNA from 1 species
AUUGAACGCUGGCGGCAGGCCUAACACAUGCAAGUCGAGCGGAUGAAGGGAGCUUGCUCCUGGAUUCAGCGGCGGACGGGUGAGUAAUGCCUAGGAAUCUGCCUGGUAGUGGGGGAUAACGUCCGGAAACGGGCGCUAAUACCGCAUACGUCCUGAGGGAGAAAGUGGGGGAUCUUCGGACCUCACGCUAUCAGAUGAGCCUAGGUCGGAUUAGCUAGUUGGUGGGGUAAAGGCCUACCAAGGCGACGAUCCGUAACUGGUCUGAGAGGAUGAUCAGUCACACUGGAACUGAGACACGGUCCAGACUCCUACGGGAGGCAGCAGUGGGGAAUAUUGGACAAUGGGCGAAAGCCUGAUCCAGCCAUGCCGCGUGUGUGAAGAAGGUCUUCGGAUUGUAAAGCACUUUAAGUUGGGAGGAAGGGCAGUAAGUUAAUACCUUGCUGCUUUGACGUUACUAACAGAAUAAGCACCGGCUAACUCCGUG